UACGUAGGGUGCGAGCGUUGUCCGGAAUUAUUGGGCGUAAAGGGCUCGUAGGCGGUCUGUCGCGUCGAAAGUGAAAACCCAGGGCUUAACCCUGGGCCUGCUUCCGAUACGGGCAGACUAGAGUCAGGUAGGGGAGAACGGAAUUCCUGGUGUAGCGGUGAAAUGCGCAGAUAUCAGGAGGAACACCGGUGGCGAAGGCGGUUCUCUGGGCCUGUACUGACGCUGAGGAACGAAAGCGUGGGGAGCGAACAGG
rnacentral:rRNA from 1 species